rnacentral:misc_RNA from 1 species
GAAGAUUUCCUUCUGCAGAGGAUGGGACAAGUGAUCAUCCAAUAUUCGAUUGGAAAGCCAGUUCAACUUCCAAACAGGAUGAGAUCAGAUCUUCUUUUUCACUGUUGGCGGGAUCUACUCCCACUCCAUCUUCAAAAAGCGAAGAAUCCUCCAUCACUCCUCCAGAAGCUUGGGGUGGAGAGAGAUUAUCCGACAAACUUACCCACUUACAUCAGCCACUCAAUUUACCUUCUCGUUUUGGGAUGUUGACUUCUGGGGGUUUGCAAGAUCUGCCCUCUUCAACAAAUCAGACAAUUAUUAGCUCUUUGACAAAUUCAAACAUGAGUUUUUCAAA